AAUCAACGCUGGCGGCGUGCCUCAGACAUGCAAGUCGAACGAUUAAGACUUCCUUCGGGAAGUGUAUAAAGUGGCGCACGGGUGAGUAACACGUAGGUAAUGUGCCUUUGGGUGGGGAAUAACUUAGGGAAACUUAAGCUAAUACCGCAUAAUGCAGCGGCUCGACAUCGAGACAGUUGUUAAAGGAGUAAUCCGCCUAAAGAGCAGCCUGCGGCAGAUUAGCUAGUUGGUAAGGUAAUGGCUUACCAAGGCUACGAUCUGUAACCGACCUGAGAGGGUGGUCGGUCACACUGACACUGAAUAACGGGUCAGACUCCUACGGGAGGCAGCGGUCGGGAAUUUUGGGCAAUGGGCGAAAGCCUGACCCAGCAACGCCGCGUGAAGGAUGAAGUAUUUCGGUAUGUAAACUUCGUAAGAAUAGGAAGAAUAAAUGACGGUACUAUUUGUAAGGUCCGGCUAACUACGUGCCAGCAGCCGCCGUAAAAC
rnacentral:rRNA from 1 species